AUUGAACGCUGGCGGCGUGCCUAACACAUGCAAGUCGAGCGGCAGCGCGGGAGCAAUCCUGGCGGCGAGCGGCGGACGGGUGAGUAACGCUUGGGAAUCUGCCUGUUAGUGGGGGACAACCCGGGGAAACGUCGGGCUAAUACCGCAUACGCACUACGGUGGAAAGCCGGGACCGCAAGGCCUGGCGCUAACAGAUGAGCCCAAGUCGGAUUAGCUAGUUGGUAGGGUAACGGCCACCAAGGCGACGAUCCGUAACUGGUCUGAGAGGACGACCAGUCACACCGGAACUGAGACACGGUCCGGACUCCUACGGGAGGCAGCAGUGGGGAAUAUUGGACAAUGGGGGAAACCCUGAUCCAGCGACGCCGCGUGGGUGAAGAAGGCCU
rnacentral:rRNA from 1 species